GAAAGAGGAUGAGAUGGCUGGAUGGCAUCACUGACUCGAUGGACAUGAGUCUCAGUGAACUCCGGAGUUGGUGAUGGACAGGGAGGCCUGGCGUGCUGUGAUUCAUGGGGUCACAAAGAGUCGGACACGACUGAGUGACGGAUCUGAUCUGAUGAUUGUGUGUUUGUGUGUGUGUGUCUAUGUCUUUUGUGUGUAUAUAUGUGUUUAUAUAUGUGUGUAUCUGUGUUUUGAGUGUAUAUUUGUCUUUAUGUAUGUGUGUUUAUGUGUAUACCUGUGUGUGUGAUUAUGUAUGUAUAUAUAAUGUGUGUAUAAGUGUGUGUUUGAAUGUAUGUGUGUGCUUGUGUGAAUGUGUUUAUGUGUGUUUGUGUGUGCACAUGUAUAUAAGUUACUGGACACUUAUGAUCUAGGAGUGAUUCUAUCCCACUCUAUCUAGGAUUCAGAAUUGGAUAGAGAAGCAUUUCUAAGUAGAAAGGGAUGAAAAUGAAAGCAAAUAACUCUUGGCAGCACUUUUCAAGACAGCCUGCCCUCCCCACCACACCUGUUCUCUUGCUGAAUUUUCCCCGUGUCCUCCAGGAGGACUUGAAAUCAUGUGAUGAGUUUAGCUCGCAGACCAUAAAUAUUUGCUGAGCAAUCACUGUGUGCAAGGUGACAGAGUUCUCUUCUCUGUGUUGGUUUUGUAUGUACAGGAACUGCCCGGAUUCUGUUUAUAAUUACCUUUAUGAUUAUCUCUUUCCAAAUAACAAGAAUGUUGACCCUUCUGUUAUUGGAAAGAGUUUGGGAUCUUUCCUCCUCCCUCCCUCAUUUGAUCUGGAAGGAUGGCCUGCUAUGAGGUGGUGAAGAGCAUCUCCUGCUAUGAGGUUGUGAAGAGCAUCUCCUUAUUUAGGAGGAAAUGAAGCCCAGAGGAGGAUAAACAUGUGGGACUUGAAGGUAGCUCUUCAGACUCUCCUUUUCCAUCAGGAAGAAGAGGGAUCCCCAAGAGAACCACAGUGCCUCAGGGUGGAACCGAAGAUGGCAGCAGGUAGAGUCCAUCCAUGGCAACGCCUCCUUUCCUGGGCUGCUGUUGUUGACAGCAGGGCUCAAAGAAUCAAAAGCUUUGCAGAUCACAAAGAAAAUUUGUAUGUUUCCAUUGAUUGGAAACAUGACUAGAAAUGUCUUUUGUGAUGUAUGCCAGGCACGACAUCUGGACAGUCUGGUCAUGGUGCAAAAAAUAGCUUCUCUUUUUCUUCUUUCUUCUAAUGAUUUCAGUGCUUGCUGAACAAAUACUUGCAAUGAAGUAGAUGAUGAUAAUGAUGAAGAAAUUUCAAAUUUAGUCAUACUAAAAUAAGUAGUGCACUUUUUCUGAAGUAUUUAUGAUUACCUUGGAAAAUGCUAUCUAGAUGCAUCUGCUUUUUAAAAAUGUGUAUAGUUAAAUACGCAGCUUUGCUAAAGAUAUUUACCCCAUCAUUGGACUUCAUAUGAGAUAAAAUGCAAAGGAAUAAAUGAGUCUAUACUUUAGUUUCUGCCUAUGAUUGGUAAUGAUAAUAAGAUGUAAUAGUCAUAAAAAUAAACAGUUGAAUGGACCUCAUAAAAUGAGAGCUAAAUCUUAAUACUCUCUGCUUCUAUUUUCCAAUGACUGUGAGGAGGGGUUAGAAGAGGUCUCCAGAUGUGUUUGCCACUGGCAGAGGCUCAUGUUCUUGUAAGUUAAUGAAAAUCAGGAGAGGAAUUAAGAAAAUUAAAAUGGUAAUGAAAAGAAUAUGCAAAGUGUGUGUGUGUGGGAUGGGGUGAACUGGCGCCUGUUCAGAUUUCCAUGGAGGAGAAAGAAUUAGGGAUUAACCAGCUCCAGCAUCUCCUCUAUGCCCCUCCCAAGUGUCUACCCCAUCAGAAACACUGUUUUAGGUUCAUGCUUCUUCUGACUUGCGCCUUGCAGAUUCUUGCAUGACUGGUUCCUUCUUCCAGUAGCUCUCAGCUGAAACAUCCAGUCCCAGAGGCUACUUUGUUGUUCCUUGAGAUCACUCUUCAUCUCAUUGUCCGUUUUAUUGGGUUGGCCCAAAAGUUUAAUUGGUUUUACUACAAGAUCUUAUGGGAAAAAACAAACAAACUUUUGAGCUAACCUAAUAUUUUUUUUCCAUAAUACUUAUUAUGGUCAAAUCAUCUUUCUAUGGAUUGGUUUCUUUCUUAAAUCUCAAGAGAUUGUAGCAUAGGAGUUGAGUCUGGAAGGACAGAUAUGAAAAUCUAUUUGUGAAAAGAAGUGCAUUAGCUGGGGUGUUUAUAAAGUGAAAACCAAAUACUGUAAAUUGACUCCAAAGGGAUAUCUAUUUGAAAUUCUGCUCCCCUGUUUUUGGCUGAUGAUCUGAUCCUUUGGUAUCUGUCACCUUAUCCUGAGGUCUAUGAUUUCUAUUUGCAGGGUAACCCAGGGUACAAUGACAGGUUAAUUGGGAGUGUGUUUAAAUAUCACCAGCUUUGCACUCUAAUGAUUCAGCAUCUAUGUAUGAUUGAAGUUUUUCUUAAUAAGUGAUCUGCCUAUAAUAGAUAGAACCCUAAUGCCUGCUCAGAAUCAGGUAGCAUCCCCUUGACUUUAUGGAUACAGUAGCUGAAUGGAUGGAGUAGCCCAUUUAAGUCCCUUUUAAUGUGAUACAGUAUGGGUUGCUGUCAACUGGUGCUCUGUUUCAGCAAGAUUAGCACUGGGAGAGUUCAUUAGGUGAAUGAGGUUUACCUUUGCCUUCAGCCUGCCCUUCUGGUGCCCUGCACCUCCUAGUGAGGUUCCUCCUCACUACUCACCCCUGAUUUCUCUGCCUUCAGAAGAACGUGCAGUUAGGCACAUAAACCUUAGUCCAUGUUAAUUCACAUCAUUGUGUUGCUUCUUCUUCAGCCUAUUGCUAUUUAAGCCACAGAGCUACCUGUGGAAUGAAAAAUGUGGCAGUUGUUAAACACAUCAGCAAACAGAAAAGAAAAAGGACACUUCUGGAUACAAUCACAAUGCCUGUGGAACCACUUUCUUAGGCUGAGCAUUGAAUGGCCCUGAGUCAUGGGAAUACUCUGCAAAGAUUUCAUUAGAGUGUUUCUUCAGAGCAGGAAUUGUGUCUCUUUACAAGUGAGUGCUCCAGCACUAAGUUGUGUCUGGCUCUCUGUGACCCUUUCGACAAUAGCCCAACAGGUUCCUUUGUCCUUGGGGUUAUCCUGGCAAGGGUACUAGAGUAGGUUGGCAUUUCCUCCUCCAGGAGCUCUUCCUGACCCACACCUCCUGCACGGGCAGGUGGAUUCUCUACCACUGAGCCACCUGGGAAGCACAUUUACAAGUGAGGUUAAAUCCUUUAUUGAAAGACACCAUUUUCAAGACUUAUAACUUCUUUCUGAUAUAAUGUUCAAGGCAAAAUAAAGGAUGGAAAGCUGAACUGAAGUGAAGCUUAUCACCCUGCACAGGGAAAAGGAAGAAUGAGUGAUAGACCCAUGAGAUGGAGGUAUCACGGAGAAGAAUUUCCAUAACUUAAGAGCCCUUUGAUAUGACCAUGACAUCACUUCCAUAAUAGAGAAAAAAUAAAUAUGCUUUACUGAUAGUGACAAGGAAGAGGGCAUAAUUUCUGCGAGGAGAACUCUACAUCAGCAAAAGGGCUGACAGUAUCACCCAAUUCAGUUUGGCUCAGUUCAGUCACUCAGUCGU
rnacentral:lncRNA from 1 species